rnacentral:rRNA from 1 species
GACAGAGGAUGCAAGCGUUAUCCGGAAUGAUUGGGCGUAAAGCGUCUGUAGGUGGCUUUUUAAGUCCGCCGUCAAAUCCCAGGGCUCAACCCUGGACAGGCGGUGGAAACUACCAAGCUGGAGUACGGUAGGGGCAGAGGGAAUUUCCGGUGGAGCGGUGAAAUGCGUAGAUAUCCGGAGGAAUACCAAAGGCGAAGGCAGUGUCCUGGGGAGUGUCUGACGCUCAGGCGCGAAAGCUAGGGGAGCGAACAGG